CAGAGUUCAUGCCCUUCAGGGUAGACCUCCCACCCUUGUGUAUUUAUACCUUUGUUGCUUUGGUAGGCCGUUGGGCUUCGGCCUGGCUAUCGGCUCCGGCUGGUGAGUGCCUACCAGAGGAAAUCAAACUCUGAAUGUUAAUGUCGUCUGAGUACUAUAUAAUAGUUA
rnacentral:misc_RNA from 1 species